rnacentral:sRNA from 1 species
GUGAAAGGUGCAGCACUGUCUAAUGAAGUUCACUGUUUAUUCACAGUACAGAUAUGGACAGAGCAAGGAUCCCUACUCAAACCUCUCAAAGUGCCUACACCCUCACCUGCAGGGAUGAAAGGGUAUUUCAGCCUCCAUGUCUAUUCGGUCCUUGGCUUCU